UACGUAGGGGGCAAGCGUUGUCCGGAAUCAUUGGGCGUAAAGAGCGCGUAGGCGGCCCAGUAAGUCCGCUCUGAAAGUCAGGGGCUCAACCCCUGGAUGCGGGUGGAUACUGCUGGGCUAGAGUCCGGAAGAGGGGAGUGGAAUUCCUGGUGUAGCGGUGGAAUGCGCAGAUAUCAGGAGGAACACCAAUAGCGAAGGCAGCUCGCUGGGACGGUACUGACGCUAAGGCGCGAAAGCGUGGGGAGCGAACAGG
rnacentral:rRNA from 1 species